AGUGAACGCUGGCGGCGUGCCUAACACAUGCAAGUCGAACGCGAAAGUCCCGCAAGGGAUAAGUAGAGUGGCAGACGGGUGAGUAAUGCAUAGGUAAUCUACCCUUGAGUGGGGGAUAACUCCGGGAAACCGGUGCUAAUCCCGCAUAACGUCCUGAUGCACAAGUAUCUGGACCAAAGGGGGGGAUCCUUCGGGACCUCUUGCUUGAGGAUGAGCCUAUGUCCUAUUAGCUAGUUGGUGAGGUAAUGGCCCACCAAGGCGAUGAUGGGUAGCCGAGCUGAGAGGCUGAUCGGCCACACUGGAACUGAAACACGGUCCAGACUCCUACGGGAGGCAGCAGUGGGGAAUUUUGCGCAAUGGGCGAAAGCCUGACGCAGCGACGCCGCGUGAGGGAUGAAGGUUCUCGGAUCGUAAACCUCUGUCAGGAA
rnacentral:rRNA from 1 species